CCUACUGGCGGCAGCAGUGAGGAAUAUUGGUCAAUGGCCGAGAGGCUGAACCAGCCAAGUCGCGUGAGGGAAGACGGCCCUACGGGUUGUAAACCUCUUUUGUCGGGGAGCAAAGCGAACCACGUGUGGUUCAUUGCGAGUACCCGAAGAAAAAGCAUCGGCUAACACCGCGCCAGCAGCCGAGGUAAUACGGGGGAUGCGAGCGUUAUCCGGAUUGAUUGGGUUUAAAGGGUGCGCAGGCGGAGGUGCAAGUCAGCGGUCAAAUUGCGGGGCUCAACCCCGUACUGCCGUUGAAACUGCAGCACUUGAGGGCGCGAGAGGUAUGCGGAAUGCGUGGUGUAGCGGUGAAAUGCAUAGAUAUCACGCAGAACUCCGAUUGCGAAGGCAGCAUACCGGCGCGCAACUGACGCUCAUGCACGAAAGCGUGGGUAUCGAACAGGAUUAGAUACCCCUGUAGUC
rnacentral:rRNA from 1 species